rnacentral:rRNA from 1 species
UACGUAGGGUGCAAGCGUUAUUCGGAAUUACUGGGCGUAAAGCGUGCGCAGGCGGCUUUGCAAGUCAGAUGUGAAAUCCCCGGGCUUAACCUGGGAACUGCAUUUGUGACUGCAUAGCUGGAGUGCGGCAGAGGGGGAUGGAAUUCCGCGUGUAGCAGUGAAAUGCGUAGAUAUGCGGAGGAACACCGAUGGCGAAGGCAAUCCCCUGGGCCUGCACUGACGCUCAUGCACGAAAGCGUGGGGAGCAAACAGG